GCAUGCAGGUGAGAAGGGAAGAUACAUGUAAUCUGCAUGUCUGCCACCAUUCCUUGUUACCCUUUUUCAUAUCCCAUGAGCACAGCACUCCAGCGGACCUACCCAAAAUAUGUGGGAGUUCAGUGAAACUCAAACAGCAUGCUUCUGGUCAGCCUAUACAGUCUCUGUCCUGGUGAGGAGCAUGAUCACCAACAGGCAAGAUCUUCUGGCCUUGAAGUUUCGCUUGAGUUAAAAGAGCUCAUCUCAGGACUUUCUGAAUUUUCAGCCCAUAUGACAUGGAAGAAGAGUUAGAAGGGGAAUCUGACUGCUUGGAUCAGGGACUGUCUGGCUGGUGGAACUUGAAUAGAUGUACAGUGCGCCACUCUGAGGAUCAAGUCUGACCCUGCCUUUAAAUUUGGAUUCAAAGUACUUAGAUUUUCUGGAAUCCCAUUCUACAAUCUUCUGGUCGAAAGUAUAAAACCAGUCUCUCAUUGCACCUUACGAGAAACACCCACAGGUGUGGAGGGGCAACCCACCCCUUCAUCUGGUGCCCAACGUGGAGGCUUUUCUCUGGGGUGAAGGUACACUCGAGCGUGGUCAUUGAGGACAAGUCGACAAGAGAUCCCGAGUACAUCUACAGUCAGCCUUACGGUAAGCUUGUGCACUCGGAAGAAGCUAGGGUGACAAUGGGGCAAACUAAAACUAAAAGUAAAUAUGCCUCUUAUCUUAGCUUCAUUAAAAUUCUUUUAAAAAGAGGGGGAGUUAGAGUAUCCACCAAAAAUCUAAUCAAGCUAUUUCAAACAACAGAACAAUUUUGCCCAUGGUUUCCAGAACAAGGAAAUUUAGAUCUAGAAGAUUGGAAAAGAAUUGGUAAGGAACUAAAACAAGCAGGUAGGAAGGGUAAUAUCAUUCCACUUACAGUAUGGAAUGAUUGGCCCAUUAUUAAAGCAGCUUUAGAACCAUUUCAAACAGAAGAUAGCGUUUCAGUUUCUGAUGCCCCUGGAAGCUGUAUAAUAGAUUGUAAUGAAAA
rnacentral:lncRNA from 10 species